rnacentral:rRNA from 1 species
UAAUACGAGAGGCCCAAACGUUAUUCGGAUUUACUGGGCUUAAAGAGUUCGUAGGCGGCGCGGAAAGUAGGGUGUGAAAGCCCUCGGCUCAACCGAGGAACUGCGCUCUAAACUGUCGUGCUUGAGGAAGCUAGAGGUGAGCGGAACUGAUGGUGGAGCGGUGAAAUGCGUUGAUAUCAUCAGGAACACCGGAGGCGAAGGCGGCUCACUGGGGCUUAUCUGACGCUGAGGAACGAAAGCCAGGGGAGCAAACGGGAUUAGAUACCCCGGUAGUCCUGGCCGUAAACGAUGAGCACUGGACCGGAGGGCUGCACAGCUUUUCGGUCGUAGCGAAAGUGGAAGUGCUCCGCCUGGGGAGUAUGGUCGCAAGGCUG